rnacentral:piRNA from 1 species
UCCAUUACCAUCUGUGAUGGUUUGUGUGU